GGUAUUUUGACUAUACAAAGGUAUUGAAAUAAGAUUUUAAUUGAAUGCUAAGAGAAUGGAAUUUCAGAAAAAAACUUUUUUCAAGUUAAAAAUUGAAAUUUUUUUAAUUUGUGCAGAAACAAUUAUUAAUAUUAAGGACAAGAAGACCCUAUGAAUUUAUAAAUUUUAUUUAAUAUGUAACUACUAUUGAAAAAAUUUUAGCUGGGGCGGCGGAAAAAUAUUUAAAACUUUUUUAAAAUAAAAUGACCCAUUAUUAAUGAUUAUAUGUUAAAUA
rnacentral:rRNA from 1 species